rnacentral:lncRNA from 1 species
UGAUUGUCCAGUGGCAAUAUUUUCUAUCCAAAUGUGUUUUGAGGAAGAAGCCUGAACCAUUUCUAUUGAGCAAUAAUUUAUAACCUACAAGCCAUGUAAUGACAGUCUACCUAGUGCCUCUGGUUUAUAAAGACUAGUAACUCUCAUAUGCAAGAAUGACUACUACCCCAUUUACUGAUAGUAACAGAGGAUCAUGUCCAUAAUAAAACUUCACAGUUCACUUUCUUUGGCUUAUAAAUUAUUCUUCCUCCUACAAAUCUUCACAGCAAUUACCUUGCUGAUAUAAUUCCUGGUUUGCAAAAUCAUUCACCUAAUGACUCCAAGAGCAGGAGUCUUUGGCAUCCUGCUCACAUGUUCUGUUCUUGAAUUUCUACUCAGUUGUAUUAAGGUGCCAGCUGGAUAUUUUGUACAUCUGUUCAAUGAAAAACGUGGUUAUUAAAUAUUAAAGGAAUGAGAUCUGACAAUUACAUGCCUAAAAAAAAUACUGACUCUUGUUCUAAAGGCAAGUAAAAAAAUAUAUAAAUCAAAAGUUGGAGAGAGAAUUCUGUAGAGAUGAUUACAAUAUUAUUAGCAGUCCAAUAGAUAUUUUUAAUAAUAGAAAAAUGUUCAGGGUCUAGCAUUAUGCACCUUGACGUUGCAAAUCCAAUCCUAUUAAGAUCAAAUUGUAACCGUAAAUUAAACUUAAAAAAUGAGUCUGUCAAGAGAUGCAUGGAAAGUGGAGUCAUUCUCCACCACUGAGAAAAGCCAUGUUCCAGCACAGCAUGGGAAAGGAUGUAGUACGUAUGCUGUACCACUUCUGUGCCUAAAAUCUCCAGUUCUGUUAAUCGAGCAAUUCAUUUUUUUUAAAACUAUCGUGGCAGGUUUAUAGCAGAGGACAGCGAUUUGAGGUGGAGAAUUAGUGCACUUUUGCUUGGAGACAGCAUACUGCACGCUGCUUCUCCCCUGCCCCCACCUCCCGUGGAAGCAGGCAUCAUCCAGGAAUGAGUCUGGCUUCAUUUCCUGGACAACAGUAUCCUUUUGUGAGUCACGGGGGGAUGAUACAACAGGAAAUAGGAGAACAUUUCUCCAUUAAGCCCCCUCAAGCCAUGCUAGCAAAGUGCUUACCUUUCUCUGCUAGGACUGAAAUCCUGAGCCUACAAGCGACUAGGAUAUGCCAUUUGCUCUCAAUUAAAAACUGUUUCAGGAGCUCACUGCUGAGGCAGAAACACAUUUGCUGGCCUUCUAAUACCAGCUGGUCUUUAUAUGACCUAUUUAUGACCAGUGGAAGUGCUGAACUACAAUUCUGUACAAGUAACGAAAUGCAAGCAAAGCCACAGUUUGAUAUUUGA